GACGAACGCUGGCGGCGUGCCUAAUACAUGCAAGUAGAACGCUGAAGGAGGAGCUUGCUCUUCUGGAUGAGUUGCGAACGGGUGAGUAACGCGUAGGUAACCUGCCUGGUAGCGGGGGAUAACUAUUGGAAACGAUAGCUAAUACCGCAUAAUAGUAGAUGUUGCAUGAUAUUUACUUAAAAGGUGCAGUUGCACCACUACCAGAUGGACCUGCGUUGUAUUAGCUAGUUGGUGGGGUAACGGCUCACCAAGGCGACGAUACAUAGCCGACCUGAGAGGGUGAUCGGCCACACUGGGACUGAGACACGGCCCAGACUCCUACGGGAGGCAGCAGUAGGGAAUCUUCGGCAAUGGACGAAAGUCUGACCGAGCAACGCCGCGUGAGUGAAGAAGGGUUUCGGAUCGUAAAGCUCUGUUGUAAGAGAAGAACGAGUGUGAGAGUGGAAAGUUCACACUGUGACGGUAUCUUACCAGAAAGGGACGGCUAACUACGUG
rnacentral:rRNA from 1 species